UUAUAUUUGCAGAAGAUGCUGUAGUUGCGGAAAAAGAUGAUCAUGCAGUGGCUGGUAACAGAGAUGACGGUUAUGGUUACGGCUAUGGUGGACAAGGUGGUUACGGCUAUGGCUGGGGAGGCGGCGGCUAUGGUGGACGUGGCGGUGGCAGCUGGGGAGGACGUGGAGGCGGCGGCUGGGGAGGUGGCGGCUGCCGAUAUGGUUGCUGUGGACACAGUAGAUAUGGAGGCUGUAGGUGUUGUUACUCAGCUGCA
rnacentral:lncRNA from 1 species